ACCCCAAAUAAGCCCUAAUUUCCAAAACCCUAUUCAAUUUACUCACUCCCUGAGCCGAGUCCCCAAACGUUUUCUCCCAAUUUCUGAGAUCUGCGCAGAACCCUAAACCCCAUUGCCGAUUAAGCUGCGAAUUCAGUCAAAAUGUCGAUGUCGAAGAGUUCUAAGAUGCUUCAAUACAUCAAUUAUCGUAUGCGUGUUACUAUCCAAGAUGGCCGUCAAUUGAUCGGUAAGUUUAUGGCAUUUGAUCGACAUAUGAAUCUUGUACUCGGCGAUUGUGAAGAGUUUCGUAAGCUUCCUCCUACUAAAGGUUCUAAGGAAGAACGUGAAGAUCGCCGUACACUUGGUCUUCUUCUUCUCAGAGGUGAAGAAGUUAUUUCCAUGACUGUUGAAGGUCCUCCACCUCCCGAUGAUUCUCGUGUUAAAGCUACUGCUGGUGGUGUUUCUGCUGUUCCUGGACCUGGGUUGGGUAGGGCUGCUGGUCGGGGUGUUCCGACUGGUCCGAUGGUUCAUGCUCAGCCGGGUCUUGCUGGUCCUGUUCGUGGGGUUGGUGGACCUGCACCGGGAAUGAUGCAGCCGCAGAUUUCUCGUCCGCCGAUUAAUUACCCGCCGCAGCCUCCUCCUCCUAUGGUUCGACCACCUGGUGGUGGACCUCCACCGCCAAUGCAAAUGCAAAUGCAAAGACCUGGUGGCCCACCUAUGCCACCGCCGCCACAGUUCAGGCCUGGUGGGCCUGGACCAUUUCCGCCUCAGUUUGGUCAGAGGCCCAUGGGACCACCACCGCCACAGAUGAUGAGAGGUCCUCCACCACCGGGGGCGCAGCCACCAAGACCGGGAAUGCCUGGUGGACCACCUCAUCCGGGGAUGCCUCCACCACCUCCUGGUGGACAAGUUCCAGUCUUUGGACCUCCUCGCCCAGGAAUGCCACCUCCUCCAAAUGCACCUCAUCAGCAGAAUCAGCAGCAGUAGAAUCUAUCAUUUCAUGGAAGAUGGCCUAUAUAUGUAAUACUCGCAAAAUAUGAUGAACACCUUUUUCUCCUUGAAAGAUCACCUGUCUCUGAUCAUUUGGUUUUUGCACUGAAGAUGGUGCGCUGUUAUGAUGUUAUCUCUCGAUGGAUCUGGAAGGUGUGAAUGGAAAUUGCUCUGGUUUUGAAUAUAUAGUGAUAUAGGUUUUGGACAGACAGAGGGCUUGCUCUGUAAAGGUCAAGUAGUCAUUAGCUUCUCGUGCUUACCUCAAUGAUGGUUAUCUUAGAUCCUUUUUCCAGCACUCAGCUACGGAUUUGGUGUUGUGAUCAAACUAAGGCUAUAUUUGAUGGUGGUAGAGUGAUAUUUGCUUUCAAAGAGCUUGUAGUUGUGCGAAAUAGGAGACUUUAAACUAAUGUUCUUAGCAGUAUUUGUCAAACUUCCUGUCUUUUGAUUUUCAAAAUUGCUUUCUGCUAUGACUUAAUGAAGAUUUCAGUGGGUUCAUUCAA